GACGAACGCUGGCGGCGUGCUUAACACAUGCAAGUCGAGCGACGAAGUUCCUUCGGGAAUGGAUUAGCGGCGGACGGGUGAGUAACACGUGGGUAACCUGCCUCAUAGAGGGGAAUAGCCUUUCGAAAGGAAGAUUAAUACCGCAUAAGAUUGUAGUAUCGCAUGAUACAGCAAUUAAAGGAGCAAUCCGCUAUGAGAUGGACCCGCGUCGCAUUAGCUAGUUGGUGAGGUAACGGCUCACCAAGGCGACGAUGCGUAGCCGACCUGAGAGGGUGAUCGGCCACAUUGGGACUGAGACACGGCCCAGACUCCUACGGGAGGCAGCAGUGGGGAAUAUUGCACAAUGGGGGAAACCCUGAUGCAGCAACGCCGCGUGAGUGAUGACGGUCUUCGGAUUGUAAAACUCUGUCUUCAGGGACGAUAAUGACGGUACCUGAGGAGGAAGCCACGGCUAACUACGUGCCAGCCGCCGCGGUAA
rnacentral:rRNA from 1 species